UAUCAUGCAAGUUCGAGCGAACUGAUUAGAAGCUUGCUUCUAUGACGUUAGCGGCGGACGGGUGAGUAACACGUGGGCAACCUGCCUGUAAGACUGGGAUAACUUCGGGAAACCGAAGCUAAUACCGGAUAGGAUCUUCUCCUUCAUGGGAGAUGAUUGAAAGAUGGUUUCGGCUAUCACUUACAGAUGGGCCCGCGGUGCAUUAGCUAGUUGGUGAGGUAACGGCUCACCAAGGCAACGAUGCAUAGCCGACCUGAGAGGGUGAUCGGCCACACUGGGACUGAGACACGGCCCAGACUCCUACGGGAGGCAGCAGUAGGGAAUCUUCCGCAAUGGACGAAAGUCUGACGGAGCAACGCCGCGUGAGUGAUGAAGGCUUUCGGGUCGUAAAACUCUGUUGUUAGGGAAGAACAAGUACAAGAGUAACUGCUUGUACCUUGACGGUACCUAACCAGAAAGCCACGGCUAACUACGUGCCAGCAGCCGCGGUAAUACGUAGGUGGCAAGCGUUAUCCGGAAUUAUUGGGCGUAAAGCGCGCGCAGGCGGUUUCUUAAGUCUGAUGUGAAAGCCCACGGCUCAACCGUGGAGGGUCAUUGGAAACUGGGGAACUUGAGUGCAGAAGAGAAAAGCGGAAUUCCACGUGUAGCGGUGAAAUGCGUAGAGAUGUGGAGGAACACCAGUGGCGAAGGCGGCUUUUUGGUCUGUAACUGACGCUGAGGCGCGAAAACGUGGGGAGCAAACAGGAUUAGAUACCCUGGUAGUCCACGCCGUAAACGAUGAGUGCUAAGUGUUAGAGGGUUUCCGCCCUUUAGUGCUGCAGCUAACGCAUUAAGCACUCCGCCUGGGGAGUACGGUCGCAAGACUGAAACUCAAAGGAAUUGACGGGGGCCCGCACAAGCGGUGGAGCAUGUGGUUUAAUUCAAA
rnacentral:rRNA from 1 species